UACGUAGGGUGCGAGCGUUGUCCGGAAUUAUUGGGCGUAAAGGGCUCGUAGGCGGUUUGUCGCGUCGGGAGUGAAAACACCGGGCUUAACUCGGUGCUUGCUUUCGAUACGGGCAGACUAGAGGCAUGCAGGGGAGAACGGAAUUCCUGGUGUAGCGGUGAAAUGCGCAGAUAUCAGGAGGAACACCAGCGGCGAAGGCGGCGCUCUGGGCCGGAACUGACGCUGAGGAGCGAAAGCGUGGGGAGCAAACAGG
rnacentral:rRNA from 1 species